rnacentral:tRNA from 1 species
GCCUGGUUGACUCAGUUGGUAGAGCAUGAGCCUCUUAAUCUCAAGGUCUUGAGUUCAAGCCACACAUUGGGUG